AAUUUAAAUUUUAAAUUUAAUAAUUUAUAAAUUUACAUAUUUAUAAAUUUAAAAUUUAAAAUUUAAGUUUAAAUUUAAAUUUUGAAAAUUGAAAAUUAAAAAUUAAAAAUAAAAUUUAAAUUUAAAAUUUGAAAUUUGAAAUUUGAACUUUUUGCAAUUUAAAAUUUGAAAUUUAAAAUUUGAAAGUUGAAAUUUGAAAGUUGAAAUCUGAAAGUUGAAAUUUGAAAUUUGAAACUUAAAAUUUGAAAUUUUUGAAAUUUGAAAGUUGAAAUUUGAAAUUUGAAAUUCAAAAUUUGAUAUUUGAACUUUUUGAAAUUCGAAAUUUGAAAUUCGAAAUUUGAAAUUUGAAAUUCAAAAUUUGAAAUUUGAAAUUUGAACUUUUUGAAAUUUGAAAUUUGAAAUUUGAAAUUUGAAAGUUGAAAUUUAAAAGUUGAAAUUUGGAAUUUGGAAUUUGGAAUUUGAAAUUUAAAAUUUGAAAUUUGAACUUUUUGAAAUUUGAAAUUUGAAAUUUAAAAUCAAAAUUAAAAUUGAAUUUUAAAAUUUUAAAAUUUGAAAUUUAAAAUUUUAUAUUGAAAUUUAAAAUUUAGAAAUUGAUACAUUUUUAGGAGCCCAAAAUGGUGGAAUUUUUUCACUUUGGUUAAAGUGGAUUGUAAAUUUACUCCAUUUUUUCGAGUAUAGUAUAACUAUACUCCAAAAAUUACGUCAUUUUUUUUUUUCUUCCAAAUGCUUCAUAGGAUUAUUUUCCUACCGGCGUAGCAUAAUUUAACUAUACUACGUUUCUAGAGGUAUCCAAACGGGGCCUAAGUCUAGUACUCAAAAUAUGUUAUAAUUUUACAGUAUCUUUAAUCGAAAAUUCAUGUUCUCUUUGGUAGAACCGAAUCCAUUAACAAUAAUAAGUCGUUUUGUUCAAACCACCAGUUUAAACCUACUUAUUAUUAUUAGAGUUCAUAGUUUUGUACAUAUUCAAUUAU
rnacentral:lncRNA from 1 species